rnacentral:rRNA from 1 species
CCUACGGGAGGCAGCAGUGAGGAAUAUUGGUCAAUGGUCGGGAGACUGAACCAGCCAAGCCGCGUGAGGGAUGAAGGUACAGAGUAUCGUAAACCUCUUUUGUCAGGGAACAAAGGCGGGGACGUGUCCCCGGAUGAGUGUACCUGAAGAAAAAGCAUCGGCUAACUCCGUGCCAGCAGCCGCGGUAAUACGGAGGAUGCGAGCGUUAUCCGGAUUUAUUGGGUUUAAAGGGUGCGCAGGCGGGCUGUUAAGUCAGCGGUCAAAGCCCGGGGCUCAACCCCGGCCCGCCGUUGAAACUGGCAGUCUCGAGUUGGAGAGAAGUAUGCGGAAUGCGCGGUGUAGCGGUGAAAGGCAUAGAUAUCGCGCAGAACUCCGAUUGCGAAGGCAGCAUGCCGGCUCCACACUGACGCUGAGGCACGAAAGCGUGGGUAUCGAACAGGAUUAGAUACCCGGGUAGUC